UACAGAGGGGGCAAGCGUUGUUCGGAAUUACUGGGCGUAAAGGGCGCGUAGGCGGCCAACUAAGUCAGACGUGAAAUCCCUCGGCUUAACCGGGGAACUGCAUCUGAUACUGGAUGGCUUGAGUUCGGGAGAGGGAUGCGGAAUUCCAGGUGUAGCGGUGAAAUGCGUAGAUAUCUGGAGGAACACCGGUGGCGAAGGCGGCAUCCUGGACCGGUUCUGACGCUGAUGCGCGAAAGCGUGGGUAGCAAACAGG
rnacentral:rRNA from 1 species